UACGGAAGGCAGCAGUGGGGAAUAUUGCACAAUGGGCGCAAGCCUGAUGCAGCCAUGCCGCGUGUAUGAAGAAGGCCUUCGGGUUGUAAAGUACUUUCAGUCGUGAGGAAGGUGUUAAGGUUAAUAACCUUAGCAAUUGACGUUAGCGACAGAAGAAGCACCGGCUAACUCCGUGCCAGCAGCCGCGGUAAUACGGAGGGUGCGAGCGUUAAUCGGAAUUACUGGGCGUAAAGGGCACGCAGGCGGUUAAUUAAGUUGGAUGUGAAAUCCCCGGGCUUAACCUGGGAAUGGCAUUCAAGACUGGUUAGCUAGAGUCUUGUAGAGGGGGUAGAAUUCCAUGUGUAGCGGUGAAAUGCGUAGAGAUGUGGAGGAAUACCGGGUGGCGAAAGGCGGCCCCUGGGACAAAGGACUGACGCUCAUGUGCGAAAGCGUGGGGAGCAAACAGGAUUAGAUACC
rnacentral:rRNA from 1 species